GACGAACGCUGGCGGCGUGCUUAACACAUGCAAGUCGAACGAAGUGGCGAACGGGUGAGUAACGCGUAAUCAACCUGCCCUUCAGAGGGGGACAACAGUUGGAAACGACUGCUAAUACCGCAUACUGAAGGGGGGGAUUGCGUCUGAUUAGCUAGUUGGAGGGGUAACGGCCCACCAAGGCGAUGAUCAGUAGCCGGGCUGGAGGGAUGGACGGCCAACUUGGGAAUGGGACACGGGCCCGACUCCUACGGGAGGCAGCAGUGGGGAAUCUUCGGCAAUGGGGGGAACGCUGACCGAGCAACGCCGCGUGAGUGAAGAAGGGUUUCGGAUCGUAAAGCUCUGUUGUUAAGGAAGCGGUACUUAACCAGAAAGGGACGGCUAACUACGUGCCAGCAGCCGCGGUAAUAC
rnacentral:rRNA from 1 species